AGGAAAGCAAAAUCAAGUGGCCUUAACCCUACUAUUGGUACAGCACCUAAAAAAGAAGACAUCACCACUUCACACCAAGAAAUGGUCCAAUUAUACCCUGCUACCUGUAUUAGUAAUUGGCAAUUGCAGAAACAUAAAGAAGACUUUGAAAUUAAGAAGUUCCAUCAAAGGUCUCCUCAAGUGAAAGUAACUCAGAUGUAAACACCUGUGGUCUGAAAGCGUUCAUGACAAAAUCUUCAUGAAGUUCAGUGAGGGAGACAACACGACACCAGUAUUACUGCCUUUUUCUUUCAUCUCUUCUGGUCCUUCAAGAAGUGAAAUGGGUGCUGAAGACUAACUGACUGGGGAAUUGAAGAUAGAAUCUCUGCCCAACUCCAAAUGAAACUUUGAUGAUGAUCUGGUGUGAUAUGUGGACUGCCAUGUUGCACCAAACCCACAGCAACCAGGACUCCAUUGUUCCCCAGGGAAACGUAGCCUAUGCGGGAAUGUGAUGGUGUGCUCUGCAAG